rnacentral:rRNA from 1 species
GACGAACGCUGGCGGCGCGCCUAACACAUGCAAGUCGAACGAGCGAGAGAGAGCUUGCUUUCUCAAGCGAGUGGCGAACGGGUGAGUAACGCGUGAGGAACCUGCCUCAAAGAGGGGGACAACAGUUGGAAACGACUGCUAAUACCGCAUAAGCCCACGGCUCGGCAUCGAGCAGAGGGAAAAGGAGCAAUCCGCUUUGAGAUGGCCUCGCGUCCGAUUAGCUGGUUGGUGAGGUAAUGGCCCACCAAGGCGACGAUCGGUAGCCGGACUGAGAGGUUGAACGGCCACAUUGGGACUGAGACACGGCCCAGACUCCUACGGGAGGCAGCAGUGGGGAAUAUUGCACAAUGGGGGAAACCCUGAUGCAGCGACGCCGCGUGGAGGAAGAAGGUCUUCGGAUUGUAAACUCCUGUUGUUGAGGAAGAUAAUGACGGUACUCAACAAGGAAGUGACGGCUAACUACGUGCCAGCAGCCGCGGUAAAACGUAGGUCACAAGCGUUGUCCGGAAUUACUGGGUGUAAAGGGAGCGCAGGCGGGAAGACAAGUUGGAAGUGAAAUCCAUGGGCUCAACCCAUGAACUGCUUUCAAAACUGUUUUUCUUGAGUAGUGCAGAGGUAGGCGGAAUUCCCGGUGUAGCGGUGGAAUGCGUAGAUAUCGGGAGGAACACCAGUGGCGAAGGCGGCCUACUGGGCACCAACUGACGCUGAGGCUCGAAAGUGUGGGUAGCAAACAGGAUUAGAUACCCUGGUAGUCCACACUGUAAACGAUGAUUACUAGGUGUUGGAGGAUGGCCCCCCUCAGUGCCGCAGUUAACACAAUAAGUAAUCCACCUGGGGAGUACGACCGCAAGGUUGAAACUCAAAGGAAUUGACGGGGGCCCGCACAAGCAGUGGAGUAUGUGGUUUAAUUCGACGCAACGCGAAGAACCUUACCAAGUCUUGACAUCCUGCGACGCACAUAGAAAUAUGUGUUUCCUUCGGGACGCAGAGACAGGUGGUGCAUGGUUGUUGUCAGCUCGUGUCGUGAGAUGUUGGGUUAAGUCCCGCAACGAGCGCAACCCUUAUGGUCAGUUACUACGCAAGAGGACUCUGGCCAGACUGCCGUUGACAAAACGGAGGAAGGUGGGGAGGACGUCAAAUCAUCAUGCCCUUUAUGACUUGGGCUACACACGUACUACAAUGGCGUUAAACAAAGAGAAGCAAGACCGCGAGGUGGAGCAAAACUCAGAAACAACGUCCCAGUUCGGACUGCAGGCUGCAACUCGCCUGCACGAAGUCGGAAUUGCUAGUAAUCGCAGAUCAGCAUGCUGCGGUGAAUAAGUUCCCGGGCCUUGUACU